GCACUUUCUUCUGCAGUACAUAUACUAAAACUGGAACAAUGCAGAAAAGAUUAGCAUGUCCUUAUGCAAGGAUGACAGUCAAACUCAUGAUGCAUUUAUAUUUUCA
ensembl:snRNA U6 U6 spliceosomal RNA